rnacentral:rRNA from 1 species
GACGAACGCUGGCGGCGUGCCUAAUACAUGCAAGUAGGACGCAGUUGCGAACGGGUGAGUAACGCGUAGGUAACUGCCUAUUAGAGGGGGAUAACUAUUGGAAACGAUAGCUAAUACCGCAUACUAGUAGAUGGACCUGCGUUGUAUUAGCUAGUAGGUAGGGUAAGGGCCUACCUAGGCGACGAUACAUAGCCGACCUGGGAGGGGUAUCGGCCACACUGGGACUGGGACACGGCCCAGACUCCUACGGGAGGCAGCAGUAGGGAAACUUCGGCAAUGGGGGGAACCCUGACCGAGCAACGCCGCGGGAGUGAAGAAGGUUUUCGGAUCGGAAAGCUCUGUUGUUAAGGAAGCGGUACUUAACCAGAAAGGGACGGCUAACUACGUGCCAGCCGCCGCGGUAAUUC